GAUGAACGCUGGCGGCGUGCUUAACACAUGCAAGUCGAGCGAGAAGGUUUGAAAAGGUUCGUCUGAUGAAGUGGAAAAUGGGAGACUGCCGAGUGGGGAAUAACGCGUAGACAACCUGCUCCAUACAGAGGACUAGCGUUUAUACACGAAAAGUAAUAUGUAAUCAAAUUUAGCUGUGGCAAGCUAGGUUGGUCUAAGAAUGAUCGGUUGGGGAUGGGCCUGCGUGUGAUGGGCUUGUUGGUGGGGUAAGGGCUCACCAAGGCGGCGACGGGUAGCCGGCCUGAGAGGGUGACCGGCCACACUGGGACUGAGACACGGACCAGACUCCUACGGGAGGCAGCAGGGGGGAAGAUUGCACAAUGGGCGAAAGCCUGAUGCAGCAACGCCGCGUGAGUGAUGACGGCCUUCGGGUUGGAAACCUCUUUUUGCAGGGAAGAAGCGAGAGUGACGGUACCUGCAGAAAAAGCGCCGGCUAACUACGUG
rnacentral:rRNA from 1 species